rnacentral:rRNA from 1 species
GGUCAAGCUACAAAGGGCGCAUGGUGAAUGCCUUGGCAUCAGGAGCCGAUGAAGGACGCGAUAAGCUGCGAUAAGCUUCGGGUAGACGCACAUAGUCAGAGAUCCGAAGAUUUCCGAAUGAGGAAACUCACAUGGGAAACCCCAUGUAUCAUAAAGUGAAUACAUAGUUUUAUGAAGGUAUACCCAGGGAACUGAAACAUCUAAGUACCUGGAGAAAGAGAAAGAAAAAUCGAUUUUCUUAGUAGCGGCGAGCGAAAAGGAAAGAGCCCAAACCAGAGAUUUAUCUCUGGGGUUGCGGACAGAACAUAACGAGAAAUCAUAGUUAAUUGAACACAACUGGAAAGUUGGACCACAGUGGGUAAUAGUCCCGUAAGUGAAAACUAUGAUAAUCAGUUCUGCACCAGAGUACCACGAGACACGUGAAACCUUGUGGGAAGCAGGGAGGACCACCUCCCAAGGCUAAAUACUACCUGAUGACCGAUAGUGAAGCAGUACCGUGAGGGAAAGGUGAAAAGAACCCCGGGAGGGGAGUGAAAUAGAACCUGAAACCAUGUGCCUACAACCGAUCAGAGCACCUUAUGUGUGUGAUGAUGUGCUUUUUGUAGAACGAGCCAACGAGUUACGGUAUGUAGCGAGGUUAAGUACUUAAGGUACGGAGCCGAAGGGAAACCGAGUCUUAAUAGGGCGACUAGUUGCAUGCUGUAGACCCGAAACCGGGUGACCUAUCCAUGGCCAGGUUGAAGCGAGGGUAAAACCUCGUGGAGGACCGAACCACGUUGCUGUUGAAAAAGCAUGGGAUGAGCUGUGGAUAGCGGAGAAAUUCCAAUCGAACUCGGAUAUAGCUGGUUCUCCUCGAAAUAGCUUUAGGGCUAGCGUCGGAAAAUGUGAGUAGUGGAGGUAGAGCACUGAAUAGGCUAGGGGGCAUAGCGCUUACCGAACCUUAUCAAACUCCGAAUGCCACAUACUAUCAGUCCGGCAGUCAGACUAUGAAAGAUAAGUUCCAUGGUCAAAAGGGAAACAGCCCAGAUCGUCAGCUAAGGUCCCAAAGUGUAAGUUAAGUGGAAAAGGAUGUGGGAUUUCUAAGACAACUAGGAUGUUGGCUUAGAAGCAGCCACUCAUUAAAAGAGUGCGUAAUAGCUCACUAGUCAAGAGAUCCUGCGCCGAAAAUGUCCGGGGCUCAAACUUACCACCGAAGCUACGGGUUCACGCAUUAGCGUGAGCGGUAGAGGAGCGUCGUAAUCGGGCUGAAGUCGUACCGUAAGGAGCGGUGGACUGAUUACGAGUGAGAAUGUUGGCAUUAGUAGCGAGAUGUAGGCGAGAAUCCUACAGGCCGAAUAUCUAAGGUUUCCUGAGUAAAGUUUGUCUUCUCAGGGUUAGUCGGGACCUAAGGCGAGGCCGAAAGGCGUAGUCGAUGGACAAUUGGUUGAUAUUCCAAUACCACUAUAAUCGUUAUUAUCGAUGGUGUGACGGAGAAGGAUAGGAUGUGCUAGCUAUUGGAUGCUAGUCUAAGCGUUUAGGGAGUUGGGAUUGGCAAAUCCGUUCCAACAAUUCUGAGGCGUGAUGGGGAAGGUUCUACGGAACCGAAGUAUCUGAUUCCAUGCUUCCAAGAAAAGCAUCUAGAAAGAGAAGUAGUGCCCGUACCGCAAACCGACACAGGUAGAUGAGGAGAGAAUCCUAAGGCCGACGGAAGAAUUGCAGUUAAGGAACUAGGCAAAUUGACCCCGUAACUUCGGGAGAAGGGGUGCCUGAGAAAUCAGGCCGCAGAGAAUAGGCACAAGCAACUGUUUAACAAAAACACAGGUCUCUGCUAAAGCGAAAGCUGAUGUAUAGGGGCUGACGCCUGCCCGGUGCUGGAAGGUUAAGGGGAACACUUAGCAAAGUUUUGCGAAGGUGUGAACUUAAGCCCCAGUAAACGGCGGCCGUAACUAUAACGGUCCUAAGGUAGCGAAAUUCCUUGUCAGGUAAGUUCUGACCCGCACGAAUGGCGUAAUGACUUGUGCACUGUCUCAACUGCAAAUCCGGCGAAGUUGUAGUGCGAGUGAAGAUGCUCGCUACCCGCGAUUGGACGGAAAGACCCCGUAGAGCUUUACUGUAGCUUAGCAUUGAAUUUCGGUAUUGUCUGUACAGGAUAGGUGGGAGACUGGGAAACUAGGGCGUCAGCCUUGGUGGAGUCGUUGUUGGGAUACCACCCUGAUAGUAUUGAAGUUCUAACUGGAUGCCAUGAAACUGGUGACAGGACAUUGUUAGGUGGGCAGUUUGACUGGGGCGGUCGCCUCCUAAAAUGUAACGGAGGCGCCCAAAGGUUCCCUCAGAACGGUCGGAAAUCGUUCGAAGAGUGUAAAGGCAGAAGGGAGCCUGACUGCGACACCUACAAGUGGAGCAGGGACGAAAGUCGGGCUUAGUGAUCCGGUGGUACCUCGUGGGAGGGCCAUCGCUCAACGGAUAAAAGCUACCUCGGGGAUAACAGGCUGAUCUCCCCCAAGAGUUCACAUCGACGGGGAGGUUUGGCACCUCGAUGUCGGCUCGUCGCAUCCUGGGGCUGAAGUAGGUCCCAAGGGUUGGGCUGUUCGCCCAUUAAAGCGGCACGCGAGCUGGGUUCAGAACGUCGUGAGACAGUUCGGUCCCUAUCCGUCGCGGGCGUAGGAAAUUUGAGAGGAGCUGUCCUUAGUACGAGAGGACCGGGAUGGACUGACCUAUGGUGUACCAGUUGUUUCGCCAGAAGCAUAGCUGGGUAGCUAAGUCGGGAAGGGAUAAACGCUGAAAGCAUCUAAGUGUGAAGCCCACCUCAAGAUGAGAUUUCCCAUAGCAUAAGCUAGUAAGACCCCUUGAAGACUACAAGGUUGAUAGGUCAGAGGUGUAAGUAUGGUAACAUAUUUAGCUGACUGAUACUAAUAGGUCGAGGGCUUGACCAA